CGUACUACUACAUGCAGUCGUAGCGAACAGAGCAAGUGAGCUUGCUCCUUUGACGUUAGCGGCGGACGGGUGAGUAACACGUGGGCAACCUACCUUAUAGUUUGGGAUAACUCCGGGAAACCGGGGCUAAUACCGAAUAAUCUGUUUCACCUCAUGGUGAAAUAUUGAAAGACGGUUUCGGCUGUCGCUAUAGGAUGGGCCCGCGGCGCAUUAGCUAGUUGGUGAGGUAACGGCUCACCAAGGCGACGAUGCGUAGCCGACCUGAGAGGGUGAUCGGCCACACUGGGACUGAGACACGGCCCAGACUCCUACGGGAGGCAGCAGUAGGGAAUCUUCCACAAUGGGCGAAAGCCUGAUGGAGCAACGCCGCGUGAGUGAAGAAGGAUUUCGGUUCGUAAAACUCUGUUGUAAGGGAAGAACAAGUACAGUAGUAACUGGCUGUACCUUGACGGUACCUUAUUAGAAAGCCACGGCUAACUACGUGCCAGCAGCCGCGGUAAUACGUAUGUGGCAAGCGUUGUCCGGAAUUAUUGGGCGUAAAGCGCGGGCAGGUGGUUUCUUAAGUCUGAUGUGAAAGCCCACGGCUCACCCGUGCAGGGUCAUUGGAGACUGGGAGACUUGAGUGCAGAAUAGGAUGGUGAAAUUCCCAGUGUAUCGGUGAAAUGCGUAUAGAUUUGGAGGAACACCGGUGUCGAACGCGACUAUCUCCCCAGUAUUUGACGCUGAAGUGCGAAUUCGUGCCGAGAAAACCGGGAUUAGAUAC
rnacentral:rRNA from 1 species